CAGCUACUCCCUCCGUUCGGAAUUACUUGUCGUAGAAAUGGAUGUAUCUAGUUCUAGAUACAUCCAUUUCUACGACAAGUAAUUCCGAACGGAGGGAGUAGCUG
rnacentral:pre_miRNA from 1 species